GACGAACGCUGGCGGCGUGCCUAAUACAUGCCAGUCGUGCGGACCUUGUUGAAAGCUUGCUUUUAAAAGGUUAGCGGCGGACGGGUGAGUAACACGUGGGCAACCUGCCUGUAAGACUGGGAUAACGCCGGGAAACCGGGGCUAAUACCAGAUCGUUUUUUCCUCCGCAUGGAGGAAAAAGGAAAGGCGGCUUCGGCUGCCACUUACAGAUGGGCCCGCGGCGCAUUAGCUAGUUGGCGGGGUAAUGGCCCACCAAGGCAACGAUGCGUAGCCGACCUGAGAGGGUGAUCGGCAACAUUGGGACUGAGACACGGCCCAAACUCCUACGGGAGGCAGCAGUAGGGAAUCUUCCGCAAUGGACGAAAGUCUGACGGAGCAACGCCGCGUGAGUGAAGAAGGCCUUCGGGUCGUAAAACUCUGUUGCCGGGGAAGAACAAGUGCCGUUCGAACAGGGCGGCGCCUUGACGGUACCCGGCCAGAAAGCCACGGCUAACUACGUG
rnacentral:rRNA from 1 species